CAGAGUAGGGUUUUGUGCGUUAAGUGUCCGGUGAACGGGGAGUUGUCACGGGAACGAAAAGAAUGCUUCUUGCGAUGCAAAGCCCGCAUCCCGCUGU
rnacentral:ncRNA from 1 species